GAUGAACGCUGGCGGCGUGCCUAAUACAUGCAAGUCGAGCGAACAGACGAGGAGCUUGCUCCUCUGACGUUAGCGGCGGACGGGUGAGUAACACGUGGAUAACCUACCUAUAAGACUGAGAUAACUUCGGGAAACCGGGGCUAACACCGGAUAAUAUAUUGAACCGCAUGGUUCAUUAGUGAAAGACGGUUUUGCUGUCACUUAUAGAUGGUUCCGAGCCGCAUUAGCUAGUUGGUAAGGUAACGGCUUACCAAGGCGACGAUGCGUAGCCGACCUGAGAGGGUGAUCGGCCACACUGGAACUGAGACACGGUCCAUACUCCUACGGGAGGCAGCAGUAGGGAAUCUUCCGCAAUGGGCGAAAGCCUGACGGAGCAACGCCGCGUGAGUGAUGAAGGUCUUCGGAUCGUAAAACUCUGUUAUUAGGGAAGAACAAAUGUGUAAGUAACUAUGCACGUCUUGACGGUACCUAAUCAGAAAGCCACGGCUAACUACGUG
rnacentral:rRNA from 1 species